AUUGAACGCUGGCGGCACGCCUAACACAUGCAAGUCGAGCGGCAGCGAGACUAGUAGCAAUACUAGUUGUCGGCGAGCGGCGGACGGGUGAGUAACACGUAGGAAUCUGCCCUUAAGCGGGGGAUAACCAAGGGAAACUUUGGCUAAUACCGCAUAAUCUCGAGAGAGCAAAGCUGCCCGCAAGGGUGGCACUUGAGGAGGAGCCUGCGUCCGAUUAGCUAGUUGGUGGGGUAAUGGCCUACCAAGGCGACGAUCGGUAACUGGUCUGAGAGGACGACCAGUCACACUGGGACUGAGACACGGCCCAGACUCCUACGGGAGGCAGCAGUGGGGAAUAUUGGACAAUGGGGGCAACCCUGAUCCAGCGAUGCCGCGUGAGUGAAGAAGGCCUUCGGGUCGUAAAGCUCUUUAGGUUGGGAAGAAGGGUAUUGGCUGAAUAAUCCAGUACUUUGACGGUACCAGGAGAAUAAGCACCGGCUAACUCUGUGCCAGCAGCCGCGGUAAAAC
rnacentral:rRNA from 1 species